UCAUUCAUUCACAUGUCUCAUUUCUGCUCCUCCCUCCCCAACAAAAAUAGCAGCCGGUAUGUGAGUUUCUGUGCAACUGUGUUUAUGAGUAUCUGUGUGCGUGUUCUCACACACACGGAAAAGGUCCAAGGUAUGCCCACCAAACAGCUAACAAUGGAUUCUCCUUGAGGGUGGGAGACUUUCACUCUUUUACUUACAUAUUUUGGUAUUGCUACAUGUUUUACAACAAGCAUGUAUUACUUUUGCAGUUAAAAAAUCAUGAGCAAGAAAUAAUAGUAGCUGCCAUUUACAGAGUAUGGACUAGAAGCGAGGCAGUGUGCUGGCUUUCCACACACCAUCUCAUUUCAUCCUCCCCAUGGCUCAUGGCAUGGGCUAUCUUUAUAUCCCAGAUAGGGAAACUGAGACUUAAAGAGAACAUACAGCUCCGUAAGGGGCAGAGUCAGGAUCUCAACCUAGGACUGUCCGACAUGAAAGCCAUAUUGAGAUCAGCCCUACAAGGCCACUCCUUUUUGCCUGCACUCAAUA